rnacentral:rRNA from 1 species
GGGAGGUAGUGACAAUAAAUAACAAUACAGGGUUCUUUGAAUCUUGUAAUUGGAAUGAGUACAAUUUAAAUCUCUUAACGAGGAACAAUUGGAGGGCAAGUCUGGUGCCAGCAGCUGCGGUAAUUCCAGCUCCAAUAGCGUAUAUUAAAGUUGUUGCAGUUAAAAAGCUCGUAGUUGAAUUUCGGGAUCAAUACGUCGGUCGUGCCUCCGGUAUGUACUGGCGUUAUUGGUUUCUCCUUUCUGAGGAGCCAUGAUGCCAUUAAUUUGGUGUCGUGGGAGUCAGGACUGUUACUUUGAAAAAUUAGAGUGUUUAAAGCAGGCUCACGCUUGAAUACAUUAGCAUGGAAUAAUGAAAUAGGACGUUUGAUCCUAUUUUGUUGGUUUCUAGGAUUGACGUAAUGAUUAAUAGGGAUAGUUGGG